rnacentral:rRNA from 1 species
GCAUAAGCUUGUCGGUGGCAUAUCAUGAAGAAGUACAAGGACCACCUCGCCUUGCUGUAUAAGGUGCACGAGAAGCUCAAGGACGGACUCAAUGCAGUGCUGAACCACCCACUAAUGCCGUCGGAAUUUGAACGAGCAUGGAAGAACCUCAUUCAGAGGUACAACUUGCAAGACGACGAAGUGAUGAAUUCACUAUGGGAUGACAGGCACGAGUGGAUCUCAGCUUACUACAAGGAAAUUUUUUGUGCUCGGAUGACUUCCACACAGAGAAGCGAGAGCAUGAACCGCAUACUGAAGAAAAAUUUUGUCAGGGAGAAGCAUGAUCUCCAUCUGUUUGCUCAGCAGGUGGACAAGUGCAUUCAGACUAGGAAGGCCGUCGAGCACGCAGAGACAGUAGAAAAUGAGUCAGAGGUAAAAACAACAACAAAGUUUGGCUUUGAAGUUCAGCUAUCAAAAGUGUAUACAAGGGCAGUGUUCACAGAUUUCAAAGAAACACUCUACCGUAGCACUGCAUUCAGAGCAGAACGGUGCCCUAAGAACCCGACAAAGUAUCUCGUACACCACUACAACAGAUCGUAUGCAUUUGACUGGGCAAGGCAUAAUUUCCAAGUGGUCGCCGAUGAAGAGAAAGGUGUCUAUGAAUGUGAGUGCAAACUCUGGACACACACAGGCCUCUUCUGCGUCCAUGUCUUAUGCAUGCUUUCUCAUUUGAGAGUACUCAACAUUCCUGAGGUGUACAUCAUGAAAAGAUACACCCGUAACGCAAGAUCAGAUGCAACGUUUGACAGAAGAGACUACCAACAAACAGCACCAGAUGGAACCUCACUUUUUUGCCGUAGAAAAUUGCUGACAGAAACAGCAAUGGACCUUGCAAACAGAGCGACAAGGUCCGAC